rnacentral:rRNA from 1 species
AUCAACUUUCGAUGGUAGGAUAGAGGCCUACCAUGGUGGUAACGGGUAACGGGGUGUUAGGGCACGACACCGGAGAGGGAGCCUGAGAAACGGCUACCACAUCCAAGGAUGGCAGCAGGCGCGCAAAUUACCCAAUCCCGACACGGGGAGGUAGUGACAAUAAAUAACAAUACGGGGUUCUUUUGGAUCUUGUAAUUGGAAUGAGUACAAUUUAAAUCUCUUAACGAGGAACAAUUGGAGGGCAAGUCUGGUGCCAGCAGCCGCGGUAAUUCCAGCUCCAAUAGCGUAUAUUAAAGUUGUUGCAGUUAAAAAGCUCGUAGUUGAAUUUCGGGGUUAGUAGGUUGGUCAUGCCUCUGGUAUGUACUAAUCUCACUGAUUCCUCCCUCUUGACGAACUGUAAUGUCAUUAAUUUGGUGUUCCAGGAAAUCAGGACUGUUACUUUGAAAAAAUUAGAGUGUUUAAAGCAGGCUUAGGCUUGAAUACAUUAGCAUGGAAUAAUGAAAUAGGACGUUUGAACCUAUUUUGUUGGUUUCUAGGAUCGACGUAAUGAUUAAUAGGGAUAGUUGGGGGCAUUAGUAUUCAAUUGUCAGAGGUGAAAUUCUUGGAUUUAUUGAAGACUAACUACUGCGAAAGCAUUUGCCAAGGAUGUUUUCAUUAAUCAAGAACGAAAGUUAGGGGAUCGAAGACGAUCAGAUACCGUCGUAGUCUUAACCAUAAACUAUGCCGACUAGGGAUCGGAUGAUGUUAAUUUUUUAAUGACUCAUUCGGCGCCUUACGGGAAACCAAAGUGUUUGGGUUC